GUGGGGAAUAUUGGACAAUGGGCGAAAGCCUGAUCCAGCCAUGCCGCGUGUGUGAAGAAGGUCUUCGGAUUGUAAAGCACUUUAAGCGAGGAGGAGGCUACCGAGAUUAAUACUCUUGGAUAGUGGACGUUACUCGCAGAAUAAGCACCGGCUAACUCUGUGUCAGCAGCCGCGGUAAUACAGAGGGUGCAAGCGUUAAUCGGAUUUACUGGGCGUAAAGCGCGCGUAGGUGGCCAAUUAAGUCAAAUGUGAAAUCCCCGAGCUUAACUUGGGAAUUGCAUUCGAUACUGGUUGGCUAGAGUAUGGGAGAGGAUGGUAGAAUUCCAGGUGUAGCGGUGAAAUGCGUAGAGAUCUGGAGGAAUACCGAUGGCGAAGGCAGCCAUCUGGCCUAAUACUGACACUGAGGUGCGAAAGCAUGGGGAGCAAACAGGAUUAGAUACCCGAGUAGUCC
rnacentral:rRNA from 1 species